GUUAAUGUAGCUUAAUUUACUAAAGCAAAGCACUGAAAAUGCUUAGAUGAGCCGCCAGGCUCCAUAAACA
rnacentral:tRNA from 1 species